UGUAAUUUGUACUUUGAUUGCUGUAAUUUCAUUCAAAUCGUCAUAUCUCCUUCUGUCCUGCAUACUAUGCUUAACCCUUGAGGUAUGUGGUAGUCAGAGACUGUUUCUAUAAGUGUACGCUACCAGCUGCGUGCAUGCAUCGAGAAAAUCGGGCACUCAGUCCGUAACCAGACCAGUUCAACUUUCUAUCAUGCCUCUGUGACGCAUUGGAAGACCAUCUAAAGGUGAAAUAAUGGGGCAAAAAACGUCAUGUCCGCAAAAUUGACUCCCGAAGAUAGAGGAAGGAGAGUGGAAGAUGACUAAUGAAUUGACCAUGCAUAAUCUCAUAAAAUUCGU
rnacentral:sRNA from 1 species